UACGGGGGGGGCAAGCGUUGUUCGGAAUUACUGGGCGUAAAGGGCUCGUAGGCGGCCAACUCAGUCAGACGUGAAAUCCCUCGGCUUAACCGGGGAACUGCGUCUGAUACUGGAUGGCUUGAGUGUGGGAGAGGAAUGCGGAAUUCCAGGUGUAGCGGUGAAAUGCGUAGAUAUCUGGAGGAACACCGGUGGCGAAGGCGGUUCUCUGGGCCUGUUCUGACGCUGAGGAGCGAAAGCGUGGGGAGCGAACAGG
rnacentral:rRNA from 1 species